rnacentral:tRNA from 6 species
GCCGUCGUGGUGAAAUUGGUAGACACGCCAUCUUGAGGGGGUGGUGACGAAAGUCGUGUGAGUUCGAGUCUCACCGACGGCACCA